UACAGAGGGUGCAAGCGUUGUUCGGAAUUAUUGGGCGUAAAGCGCGUGUAGGCGGCUUUGCAAGUCGGGUGUGAAAGCCCUCGGCUCAACCGAGGAAGUGCGCCCGAAACUGCAGAGCUUGAGUACCGGAGAGGAUGGCGGAAUUCCCCAAGUAGAGGUGAAAUUCGUAGAUAUGGGGAGGAACACCGGUGGCGAAGGCGGCUCUCUGGGACGGUACUGGACGCUGAGACGCGAAAGCGUGGGGAGCGAACAGG
rnacentral:rRNA from 1 species